AAAGGCAGGAAGAUCUGCAAGACGCAUAGCUGGGACUCCAGGGAUGUAGUCCACAAGCUCGUCUCCCCGUUCUUAAUCAAACAUGAGGCAAAGACACGUAGAGAAAGCAAUGGGAAAAGAAGAAUACUGCGUAUCUAUAUCGGGAAAACAAUUGGCAAGCGUCAUACCUACAGGGCCAUCUGUAAUCUAGCAGUCACGCAGGCAGGACAAAAUUUGAUUGAGAAAGAGGUUCUGGAAGAAAGAAACUGACCUGACAGUUCAACCGGGAAAUGCCCGUUCUGCACGAGGAGCUCAAGAUGGUGAAGCACCGAGAACACCGUCGCGGACAUGGUCAUUAGUGACGCCACCGGAAUAUUCCUCCGGUUCCCCACUUCGACAGCCCAUACCAAAUAAGUAUCGGCCACUAUGGCACUCACCGGAUGUUUAAGCCGGUCCAGGAGCUCCUCAAAGGGCGCUUCCAUCUUCGUGCUGAUGGCCUCAAGGAAUCCGGGAAAAUCUUUACCACGAACACGCUCGGAAGGUAUGACGUUGGGUAUCGUGGCGAAGCGUAUGUUAGCCGGCUUGGUUUGUUCGCCGAUGAUGCCGAGCCACUCCUCGGUGACGACGAAGGUGACAAUAAUGGAUGGGCUUUUCAAAACUAGUUGCUUGCAAAGAUUCAUCAUGGGGUUGAUGUGGCCUCGAGCGGGAUAGGGCAUCGCCACCACGCCGCAAACGACGGAUGAAUCUGUUAAUAAUUUUGUAGGAUCCAUUUCUGUGAUCUGUGAUAAGAGUGAUAAUGCUCAAUAACGUAGAAAGAUUCUAGAACAUAUAGUACUAGUGACAAAUAUCGGGAAUACAUUCAAUAAUUCAGUUUAA